GCGCAGGGGAGCUGUUAGAGGUGGGAGUUGGAGCUGCGGGCCUGGAGGGGGCAGCGGAGCUGCGAUGCGGACGGGGCAGCGCCGGUGAACGGAGCUGCAGCCCGACAUGAACUCGCUGGAGCAGGCGGAAGAUCUCAAGGCUUUUGAGAGGAGACUUACUGAAUAUAUUCAUUGUUUGCAACCUGCCACUGGACGUUGGAGAAUGCUUCUUAUAGUGGUAUCUGUCUGUACAGCUACUGGUGCCUGGAACUGGUUAAUAGAUCCCGAGACGCAAAAGGUGUCCUUCUUCACAUCAUUAUGGAACCAUCCAUUUUUCACCAUUAGCUGUAUCACUCUAAUAGGCUUGUUCUUUGCUGGAAUACACAAGAGAGUAGUUGCACCGUCAAUUAUAGCUGCUCGAUGUCGAACUGUAUUAGCAGAGUACAACAUGUCUUGUGAUGAUAAACACGUUGAGUGAAGUAGAUGAAAAAGAACACGCUGUGUGAUUCCAUUUACUUAAAGAUCAGAGAGAGGCAGAUUAACCUGUGACAGGAAAACUAAUUUUGAAACCUAGGCCUCAUGUUCAAUGACAAUCUGCACUCAUUGUUAUGGGACUUAAAACAACCUUUCUUCAAAAAGUGAUACAGCAAAAAGCCAUAAAGGAUUGCUUUUACAGUUGGAUAUGUGAACGUCAUAGCAACAACUGACAAGAAAUGUGCAAUAUUUACCCAGAUUAUCUUCAUGGUGGUGACUCGCGUAAUCAGUGCUUUGGUACCUUUGAUUAUUUGUGUUUCAGUAUUAGUGUCACUUUAGUACUUCAGAUCCUGCAAAGAUUUUUGCAGAUGAAGUAUGUAUGUAUGUUACUAAGUUAAACUUAGAAACAGAACCUCAUCCAGUUUUUAUAAUGUAUUUUUGUAAACUACUGUAAAUAGCAAAUCAAUGCCAGUGUUAAAAAGGAAACGUUAUGUGGACUUUGUUCUCCUGCACCAGUGUUUCAGGAACAUCUGCUUGCCAUCUCCACAGCUCUUUAAAACCAGCUAUUACGUAUAGCUGUGCCUUUCACUCUUACACUCCUCUCUUUUAAUCAUAAUGCAGGAAAAACAUUGGAUUGAGCUAAGACUAAGGAAAAUUCAUCUCCAUUAUGUUUUAAGAAAUUAUAGGUGUUUUGAGAAACAGUUUUUGUUAAAACUAGAUAGUGAACUUCAGCCACUAUUGUGAUAUUUUCCAGUUCAUUGUUUUCAUUUAAUGCUAAAUAUACUUUAUAUUUUUUUAAUGAUUUUAAGAACACUCCAAAGGCUUCUGAAUAGACAAGGUUAGUUAUAAAUUAUGUAUUGUCUGGGGAAUUUGAUAGUCAUUGUUUUAGAUAAUGGGAUUUUAUGCCGUGGUAGACGUGCUGUUACACUAGUAUUGUGCAGGUGUGCUUGAUCAGCCACACCAUCACAGGGACAACGGGAGCAGUGCCACAAACUAGAGUCUACAAUUCUCACUGUUUAGAGAGUGUUAAUGACAUACUGUGUAUGCAUAUUAGCCACAUAUACUAUAACAGCCCUUAAAAUUAAGCUAUUGGGAUUGCUGUAAAUAUUUUAAAGAACUGGAGGUGCCUUUUACCUGUUUAUUAGAAGAUUUUGAAAGGUUUAAAUUAUUUCAUGAGCAAUCUUUUAAAUUUCAUUUAACAUAAGGCUGAAAAUUCAAAAACAGGACAAAAAACCUUUUUAACAAGGCUGCCAUUUAUUUUAAAUGUGUCCAUCUUGGCUUUCACGUGUAUAAAAUUUCAUUCUUUGAACUGCAGCAAUAAACCCCUCUGCUCCUACGAAGUUUUAAGAGGGUAUUCCAUAUAUUCUGCAUUGUUUUAUUUCCUGUAAAUUUUGUAGGUAAAUAUGUGCAUAAAAAUAAAUACUUUAUAUAUAUUUAGUGA